GGCUCACCUAGGCGACGAUCCCUAGCUGGUCUGAGAGGAUGACCAGCCACACUGGAACUGAGACACGGUCCAGACUCCUACGGGAGGCAGCAGUGGGGAAUAUUGCACAAUGGGCGCAAGCCUGAUGCAGCCAUGCCGCGUGUGUGAAGAAGGCCUUCGGGUUGUAAAGCACUUUCAGCGGGGAGGAAGGCGGUGAGGUUAAUAACCUCAUCGAUUGACGUUACCCGCAGAAGAAGCACCGGCUAACUCCGUGCCAGCAGCCGCGGUAAUACGGAGGGUGCAAGCGUUAAUCGGAAUUACUGGGCGUAAAGCGCACGCAGGCGGUCUGUCAAGUCGGAUGUGAAAUCCCCGGGCUCAACCUGGGAACUGCAUUCGAAACUGGCAGGCUAGAGUCUUGUAGAGGGGGGUAGAAUUCCAGGUGUAGCGGUGAAAUGCGUAGAGAUCUGGAGGAAUACCGGUGGCGAAGGCGGCCCCCUGGACAAAGACUGACGCUCAGGUGCGAAAGCGUGGGGAGCAAACAGGAUUAGAUACCCUGGUAGUCCACGCCGUAAACGAUGUCGAUUUGGAGGUUGUGCCCUUGAGGCGUGGCUUCCGGAGCUAACGCGUUAAAUCGACCGCCUGGGGAGUACGGCCGCAAGGUUAAAACUCAAAUGAAUUGACGGGGGCCCGCACAAGCGGUGGAGCAUGUGGUUUAAUUCGAUGCAACGCGAAGAACCUUACCUGGUCUUGACAUCCACAGAACUUUCCAGAGAUGGAUUGGUGCCUUCGGGAACUGUGAGACAGGUGCUGCAUGGCUGUCGUCAGCUCGUGUUGUGAAAUGUUGGGUUAAGUCCCGCAACGAGCGCAACCCUUAUCCUUUGUUGCCAGCGGUCCGGCCGGGAACUCAAAGGAGACUGCCAGUGAUAAACUGGAGGAAGGUGGGGAUGACGUCAAGUCAUCAUGGCCCUUACGACCAGGGCUACACACGUGCUACAAUGGCAUAUACAAAGAGAAGCGACCUCGCGAGAGCAAGCGGACCUCAUAAAGUAUGUCGUAGUCCGGAUUGGAGUCUGCAACUCGACUCCAUGAAGUCGGAAUCGCUAGUAAUCGUAGAUCAGAAUGCUACGGUGAAUACGUUCCCGGGCCUUGUACACACCGCCCGUCACACCAUGGGAGUGGGUUGCAAAAGAAGUAGGUAGCUUAACCUUCGGGAGGGCGCUUACCACUUUGUGAUUCAUGACUGGGGUGAAGUCGUAACAAGGUAACCGUAGGGGAACCUGCGGUUGGAUCACCUCCUUA
rnacentral:rRNA from 1 species